UCAAUAUGGGCAACCACCAUGCCAGAACACUAGACUGAAAUCACCAGUGGCUUGUCCUCAAUCACGUAACAAAUUGAAAACUAGCACAAGAUCAGGUGAUCGGUCUCAAGGGACAAACUUUGGUAAAUCUAAAAUUGCAGCUGUCAAGGAAGAAUUGGAUGAGGAUGUGGAUGGUACCUCCCCCAACACAAAUGGAGCUCCGAAAGAAGCUGAUAAAUUUGCCUCAGAAAAUCCCUUUUUCACAGUCAAAGUGGGGCCGGGAAUUCAAUCUAGACCGCUUUUAUCUGUUGCCUUCGUAAGAGAGUACUUCGAUAACAAGACACAGAUUGUGAAGUUACGGUGUGGAAAGAAAGUGUGGCCUAUCAAGUUCCUAUGUUAUCCACACAACUCUGCAGCCUUUUUUUCUGGAGGUUGGUUCCAAUUUGUAAAAGAAUGUAAAUUGGUAGUUGGAGAUGUUUGUGUGUUUGAGCUCAUCAACAGAGAAGAUGCAGUGUUUGAGGUUCACAUUUUCAGACGCGACACUUAGACAAUGUAAUUGGAGCCGUUGGUACUGUUACCCUAAAGAUGUAU